GGAUGUUGUUACUGGAAUGUCAGUUUUACUCAUUACUUUUCCGUUUGGAACCUAUUCUUUCAGCAUAGGGACCAACCCAAUCAAAGUAAACCCUUCUUCUGAACUCUUUCUUCGACCCCAGCUUUAGCGUUGUUUAGUUCUCUAUGGGGAGAUUAUCUUUUGGUACAGGAAGUAUUGUACACGUUCCUUGACCUAUUUGAUACCACAUAUCCUUGGAGGAUUCCACAACUAAGGGGGAGAAUAUAUUUACGGGGAGAAUUUAUGAAAGGGGGAAGAAAAAGUAAGUUAGCUUUCUUCUGUUGUCUACAACUAAGGGGGAUUAAACUACUCUUUAGCUGUGUAAUACUGAGGGGGAGAUUCUUCUUUCAACUAAGGAGGAGGAUUGAUCUUUCAUCUAAGGGGAGACAACUACUUAUCACUAAGGGGAACCUGAUCAAGGUAACGGGAGGAGAAGUAUAAGGUGAUACAAUUAUUCUUCAGUAAGUGGUA
rnacentral:lncRNA from 1 species